CGGGCUGUGGCGCAGUUUGGUAGCGCACCACACUGGGGGUGUGGGGGUCGUGGGUUCAAAUCCCGCCAGCCCGACCA
rnacentral:tRNA from 1 species